UACGGGGGGCAAGCGUUGUUCGGAAUUACUGGGCGUAAAGGGCUCGUAGGCGGCCAACUAAGUCAGACGUGAAUCCCCAGGCUCAACCUGGAACUGCGUCUGAUACUGGAUGGCUUGAAUUCGGGAGAGGGAUGCAGAAUCCAGGUGUAGCGGUGAAAUGCGUAGAUAUCUGGAGAAUACCGGUGGCGAAGGCGGCAUCCUGGACCCGACAUUGACGCUGAUGAGCGAAAGCUAGGGAGCAAAC
rnacentral:rRNA from 1 species